AAGGAAAAAGUCUCAGGUGGGCAUGCGUGUAACUCCCUAAACGCACUGCGCGUGCUCAAUUCCAAAGGCUAAGGAAAGCAUUGCGCAUGCGGGAAACCCACGCUGAGGGAAGAAUCAUGGGAAAGAGUAGAGACGGGGUUCCACCGUGUUAGCCAGGAUGGUCUCGAUUUCCUGACCUCGUCAUCCUCCCGCCUUGGCCUCCCAAAGUGCUGGGAUUACAGGCUUGAGCCACCGCGCCCCGCUCUUUCGUGUUCCAAAGGCUUUUUAAAUAAACUUCCACUCCUGUCCUGGAUUCUGCUUUAUGGCCCUCAGUCGAAUUCUUUCUUCUGAGGAGGCAAGGACUGAAGUUGCUUCUGACCAGUACAGGAGAAAACGAAUACAGCAGGGAUGACUUCCACCAGCUCCACUUUGCAGCUCUGAGGUGUAUUAAAAAUAAACCUAGAGCCCCACCAAAUGAAUCCGCUGGCACGUGGACCUCAGAUGGGGGAAACUGAGGACUGAAUUCUGACCACCCUCCUUUGUUCUAAAUUUCUUCCUGAAGGACCUGGAAGAAGUCAUGCCACGGGCCAGACCUUAACAUUCCUUUCGGCUUACCCCAGGAUUUCAGACAAAGCUUCACUUUCCUAACCAGUCACAAAUCAGAGAAUUUUUGAUUCCACCUAUGACCUGUGAGCUCCUGCUUCAAGAUAUUCCACCUUUUUUAGGCCAAACCAAUGUAUAACCUCCAAGUGUCGAUUUACACUUUCGACUGUAACUUCUGCUUUCCUGAGAUUUACCCCUGCCUUUAAAAACCCUUGCUUGUAAUCCCUCAGGGAGGCCGUGUAUUUAUUAAUCAUGAGCUGCCCAAUUCUCCUUGCUUGGUGCCCUGCAAAUAAACACCCUCUUUUCUCCCACUGCAAAACCUCAGUGUGGAUGUUUGGCUUUACUUCACCCCCAGGAAAGCAGACCCAGGUUUGACUCAGCAACAACAUCUGUUUCUAUUUUUCUCUGUAUAAAUAUUAAAAACCAUAAGUACAUGCUAUCUCCAAUUCCAAUAUAAACCCAUAGGGCU
rnacentral:lncRNA from 1 species